rnacentral:ncRNA from 2 species
AUACUGCGCGCGCUUUCAGGUGACCCGCGGCGUCCGCGUCCGGGUUGAAACGGGAAGCCGGUGACCCGCGCAGGCGGCAUUCCGGCGCUGCCCCCGCAACGGUAGGCGAAGACAACCGCGGCAUCGGCCACUGUGCGACUUAUGCAUGGGAAGGCGCCCCGGCAGCGUGCAUCGUGCACGCCUUCGCAAGCCCGGAGACCGGCCCGGAAGUCCACUGGUUG